AGAAAAGUAACACAUGAGUGGAUAGUCCAGUUGUUAUAAUUGGGUGCAUUUCUGAGGAGGAGACCACUGCCAUUCGUUUGUAGAGAAGAAGUGAAGAAGGAAAGUAGAAAGAGCAGUCUCGUUUAGAAUUAAAAAAAAACCAUGAAGUCAUAAACUAGCAUCCCCACUUUAGUGCAAAUGGCCAGCCACAUGGCUGGUUACUUGAAAUGCCCCAUGGAAGCUUCAAGAGGAAGAAAUUAUGUAUGUGGAGGGGCUUAUGUCUUUAUGAGCUUGGUUGCACCAUUGGGCUUGGCUUGGAUCGACGAACCAGGCCAGUUAGCGUAGAACUGGAUUUCAAUAGCAUCCAGACUCCAGAGAAAUCUUGAAGCGGCAGUGGGCCUAAGCCGAUCGAUGUGCCUUGGACGGUUCAGCAAAGCGAGAGGGAAAUGGGAAUGCGUCAGCAUAUGGGAUUAGUGGAGAAUUAAGAAGAGUGUGGAGUAGAGAAAUGUUGUUGAUAAGGAUGAGUUAGUGGAUCCACUGAUGCAAGGGCAAGGCUGAAAGGAAAGACGACUUCCAAAACCCAAAAAGUUAGUCAUGCACCAGGAGAAAAGUUGUCUCUGCACCACCACCAUUUGGUUCUCUUUUGCAUUGACAAUAGUACCCUAGUUGAGUACAAACUUUGUACUGAAAUAAAAUUUCUAAAGUUCUGGACUUGUCAAGUGGAUGCUCACGCAAGUUGAGGCCAUGAUCAUGAUUGUCUUAAUCUUGAGCUUGAAGUUAAGGUCUUCCUAGGUUUACUUGAUUCCAGCAAAUCGUUGGUAAAUGGAAAUCUGAGAUGGAGCUAGAGUUGAGGUCUUCUUUUCAGUCGCCAACUAUGAUCCAGCAUGGACAUGGAAUCUCAAUGUGUGGAAAACAAUUUUAAAUUAUCUGCUUUAUUCAAGAUAUCAAACCUUUUUUUUUUUCUAGGGUGCCGUCUAGAGUAGCAAGAUGAAGGGCAUCAUGGGGAUAUUGACAUUUUUUUUUAAAGCUGAUUUUCCUUCUCAUCUCCAGUACCCAGCUGACACAUUCAUCAGCUAUUUAAACACCACAACCAGAAUCCAACUUCUCAAAGUUGCUGUUGUUGGAUGGUUCAUCCCAUUGGGGAGAGGGUGGCCUGCGUGUUUAUUGGCUUCUGGGAAGCUAUGAAACUAUUUUGGCAGGAAUCUACACAUGGGUCUUGAAAAGGAAGAUAAAUAAAGUAUGGAGAGAGAGAGAGAGAUAUAUAUAGAGAGAGAGAGAGGCAUUCAGAUAUCUCCUCCUCCAAUCUAUCAUCAGUUUGUAUAUGCUGCUGGGCCAUCAGCUUGCCUGCAGUCUAAUUCCUUCUUUAUCUUAAGCACCCACCUCAGCAAGCUUAUUAUGAUGAAGUUUUCUAGAGCUAACAGCUGCAGCUUUUGGCUAAGGGCAUAGCAAACCGGCAAGUCACAGAGAGGCUCAGAAGACUCGGAAAGGGUCUUUCUGGUUUUAUUUCUUCCUUUUGUUAUCGUUAAUGUAUUUCCUGCAAGAGAGAGUAUGGGGAAAUAAUAAGCAUUGGCGUUCUUGCUUUUGUAAGAAACUCCAGGUAGACAUGGUGAUUGAUGUGUGAGAAAUAAUUAAUCACUCGGUUGGCACUCAGUUGAUUGGCAAUGAAGUGCCAAUCAGUACUCUGUUAAUCGAGUAGCAUAUUAUGAAUGUAGCCACCAAGUUGCAGAAUUAAUUCUCUCUCUCUCUCU